GUACUGCAUUUAUUUUGUAGCCUCAAUUGAGAAGUAAAACAGUCAAUGAAGGUUUCCGUUUGUUUAAUCGUCCUUCUGUUGUUGGUGUUUGCUGGAGUCACCAUAUCAAAUGAAGAAAUGCUGGAAGACAAUGGACUUCUUCAGAAACUUGUGAAAAGGAGUCCGAGAUUCUUUAGAAGAAUUUGCCCUUGCUGUCGUCAUUUUUCCUGCAUCAGUGGACGCUGCAUUCCCCAUUAUGACACAUGAUUGUUUGACCAUUCAUCAUUUAUAAAUCCCAGCAUACAUGAAGCGACAGACUCAAGAAAAAUUUGUACUCAAAAACUAAAUUUCUGAUC